rnacentral:misc_RNA from 1 species
AAAGUCGUAACAAGGUUUCCGUAGGUGAACCUGCGGAAGGAUCAUUACUGAUUUAGCAAACCGAGCAUUAGCGAGGUUUUGCGAUCACUUAUAUUUAAAACCCACACUUUAAAUGUUUAUAUAAAUAUUUUUAAAUGAUAAAAAUUAAGAUCACUUUCAACAACGGAUCUCUUGGCUCUC